CUACGGGUCGCAGCAGUGAGGAAUAUUGCACAAUGGGGGGAACCCUGAUGCAGCAACGCCGCGUGGAGGAUGACGCAUUUCGGUGUGUAAACUCCUUUUAUAUGUCAAGAAAAUGACGGUAGCAUAUGAAUAAGCACCGGCUAACUCCGUGCCAGCAGCCGCGGUAAUACGGAGGGUGCAAGCGUUACUCGGAAUCACUGGGCGUAAAGGACGCGUAGGCGGGUUGGAAAGUCAGGUGUGAAAUCCUACAGCUUAACUGUAGAACUGCACUUGAAACUUCUAAUCUAGAGUAUGGGAGGGGAGAGGGAAUUAGUGGUGUAGGGGUAAAAGCCGGAGAUAUCACUAGGAAUACCAAAAGCGAAGGCGAUCUCCUGGAACAUUACUGACGCUAAGGCGUGAAAGCGUGGGGAGCAAACAGGAUUAGAUACCCCGGUAGUC
rnacentral:rRNA from 1 species